rnacentral:rRNA from 1 species
GAGUUUGAUCCUGGCUCAGAGUGAACGCUGGCGGCGUGCCUAAUACAUGCAAGUCGAACGAUGAAGCUUCUAGCUUGCUAGAAGUGGAUUAGUGGCGCACGGGUGAGUAACGCAUAGGUCAUGUGCCUCUUAGUUUGGGAUAGCCAUUGGAAACGAUGAUUAAUACCAGAUACUCCCUACGGGGGAAAGAUUUAUCGCUAAGAGAUCAGCCUAUGUCCUAUCAGCUUGUUGGUAAGGUAAUGGCUUACCAAGGCUAUGACGGGUAUCCGGCCUGAGAGGGUGAACGGACACACUGGAACUGAGACACGGUCCAGACUCCUACGGGAGGCAGCAGUAGGGAAUAUUGCUCAAUGGGGGAAACCCUGAAGCAGCAACGCCGCGUGGAGGAUGAAGGUUUUAGGAUUGUAAACUCCUUUUGUUAGAGAAGAUAAUGACGGUAUCUAACGAAUAAGCACCGGCUAACUCCGUGCCAGCAGCCGCGGUAAUACGGAGGGUGCAAGCGUUACUCGGAAUCACUGGGCGUAAAGAGCGCGUAGGCGGGAUAGUCAGUCAGGUGUGAAAUCCUAUGGCUUAACCAUAGAACUGCAUUUGAAACUACUAUUCUAGAGUGUGGGAGAGGUAGGUGGAAUUCUUGGUGUAGGGGUAAAAUCCGUAGAGAUCAAGAGGAAUACUCAUUGCGAAGGCGACCUGCUGGAACAUUACUGACGCUGAUUGCGCGAAAGCGUGGGGAGCAAACAGGAUUAGAUACCCUGGUAGUCCACGCCCUAAACGAUGGAUGCUAGUUGUUGGAGGGCUUAGUCUCUCCAGUAAUGCAGCUAACGCAUUAAGCAUCCCGCCUGGGGAGUACGGUCGCAAGAUUAAAACUCAAAGGAAUAGACGGGGACCCGCACAAGCGGUGGAGCAUGUGGUUUAAUUCGAAGAUACACGAAGAACCUUACCUAGGCUUGACAUUGAGAGAAUCCGCUAGAAAUAGUGGAGUGUCUAGCUUGCUAGACCUUGAAAACAGGUGCUGCACGGCUGUCGUCAGCUCGUGUCGUGAGAUGUUGGGUUAAGUCCCGCAACGAGCGCAACCCCCUUUCUUAGUUGCUAACAGGUCAUGCUGAGAACUCUAAGGAUACUGCCUCCGUAAGGAGGAGGAAGGUGGGGACGACGUCAAGUCAUCAUGGCCCUUACGCCUAGGGCUACACACGUGCUACAAUGGGGUGCACAAAGAGAAGCAAUACUGCGAAGUGGAGCCAAUCUUCAAAACGCCUCUCAGUUCGGAUUGUAGGCUGCAACUCGCCUGCAUGAAGCUGGAAUCGCUAGUAAUCGCAAAUCAGCCAUGUUGCGGUGAAUACGUUCCCGGGUCUUGUACUCACCGCCCGUCACACCAUGGGAGUUGUGUUUGCCUUAAGUCAGGAUGCUAAAUUGGCUACUGCCCACGGCACACACAGCGACUGGGGUGAAGUCGUAACAAGGUAACCGUAGGUGAACCUGCGGUUGGAUCACC